UAAAACCAGCACCUCAAGUGGUCAGGAUGAUUAUUGGGCCUAAAGCAUCCGUAGCCUGUUCUAUAAGUUUCCGGUUAAAUCCAUAUGCUCAACAUAUGGGCCGUCGGAAAUACUGUAGAACUAGGGAGUGGGAGAGGUAGACGGUACUCGGUAGGAAGAGGUAAAAUUCUUUGAUCUAUUGAUGACCACCUGUGGCGAAGGCGGUCUACCAGAACACGUUCGACGGUGAGGGAUGAAAGCUGGGGGAGCAAACCGGAUUAGAUACCCGGGUAGUCCCAGCUGUAAACGAUGCAAACUAGGUGAUGCGUUGGCUUGUUGCUAGCGCAGUGCCUCAGGGAAGCCGUUAAGUUUGCCGCCUGGGAAGUACGUACGCAAGUAUG
rnacentral:rRNA from 2 species